UACGUAGGCAGCAAGCGUUGUUCGGAGUUACUGGGCGUAAAGGGUGUGUAGGCGGUUCUUUAAGUUUGGUGUGAAAUCUCCCGGCUCAACCGGGAGGGUGCGCCGAAUACUGAGGGACUCGAGUGCGGGAGAGGAAAGUGGAAUCCUGGUGUAGCGGUGAAAUGCGUAGAUAUCAGGAGGAACACCGGUGGUGUAGACGGCUUCUGGACCGUAACUGACGCUGGAGACACGAAAGCGUGGGUAGCAAACAGG
rnacentral:rRNA from 1 species